GCUCAGUCAGUUAAGUGUCUGACUCUUGAUCUCAACUCAGGUCUUGAUCUUAGGGUCGUGGGUUCAAGACCCACACUGGGCU
rnacentral:tRNA from 1 species